UACGAAGGGGGCAAGCGUUGUUCGGAAUCACUGGGCGUAAAGCGCACGUAGGCGGAUCCUUAAGUCGGGGGUGAAAUCCUGGAGCUCAACUCCAGAACUGCCUUCGAUACUGAGGAUCUCGAGUCCGGGAGAGGUGAGUGGAACUGCGAGUGUAGAGGUGAAAUUCGUAGAUAUUCGCAAGAACACCAGUGGCGAAGGCGGCUCACUGGCCCGGUACUGACGCUGAGGUGCGAAAGCGUGGGGAGCAAACAGG
rnacentral:rRNA from 1 species